GUAGGGGGCAAGCGUUGUCCGGAUUUACUGGGCGUAAAGAGCGUGUAGGCGGCCACGCAGGUCCGUUGUGAAAACUGGAGGCUUAACCUCCAGACGUCGACGGAAACCGUGUGGCUAGAGUCCGGAAGAGGAGAGUGGAAUUCCUGGUGUAGCGGUGAAAUGCGCAGAUAUCAGGAAGAACACCAAUGGCGAAGGCAGCUCUCUGGGACGGUACUGACGCUGAGACGCGAAAGCGUGGGGAGCGAACAGGAUUAGAUACCCUGGUAGUCCACGCCGUAAACGAUGGGUGCUAGGUGUGGGAGGUGUCGACUCCUUCCGUGCCGUAGCUAACGCAUUAAGCACCCCGCCUGGGGAGUACGGCCGCAAGGCUAAA
rnacentral:rRNA from 1 species